AAUACAUAAAGAACACCACUGAGAAGCUACAGAAUGAUACAAAAACCUAAAAAAAAUAAUAAUAAUAGACCCGUCCUUUCAGGCAUGACAGGACAUGUCUCACACCAUUUUUCUCUUCAAUGUUUAAAACUGAUUUUCUGGCAAAAAAAAAAAGCACAGAUGGCUAAACUGUGCUAUGACCAGAUAUGCACAGGGUGCAUACGAAAGUCUGAGAAAGUGAAACACCUCCAGUACUGAGGAGAGGCUGGGGUUGGAGUUUGUGAAGUCCAGAGGUGGAGUUCCUCCAUUUUGUUCCCAUCUGUCACCUGAAGAAGAGUCACGUGGCUCCACUUGCCAGUCUAACCUGUAGAGCAGACAGGAAUGCAACGCCGCUCAUAUCCGGCCUCUCAGAAGACUUUGGCAUUCCUCCAAUGGCUUGAGAGAAAGAGAGAUGAAAGAAGAGAAAAAUGAGAGAGGAGUUCAAAGAGAGGGAGGAGAGAGAGGUUGAGACUGGAGGGGAUGAAGAGCAACAGUCGGAGACAUAUCAGAUAUAUCACAUCAGACAGCGGCAUCUCUAUGUUUAGUUACAGAAAUCCCUACAGAUAUGAACACGGAGAUGGCUGAAGGCUUGUGUAGUACAUACAGUACGAAUUCAUCAUUGCCAAACUUGAAAGUGCAGCAGCUAUAGCCAAAUGUGACGCAACUGGGCUUGAUUUCAACAUGUGAAGAAUAAAAAACCUGGUGUGAAAUGUG